GAUGAAGAACGCAGCGAAAUGCGAUAAGUAAUGUGAAUUGCAGAAUUCAGUGAAUCAUCGAAUCUUUGAACGCACAUUGCGCCCCUUGGUAUUCCGAGGGGCAUGCCUGUUCGAGCGUCAUUAUAACCCCUCAAGCUCAGCUUGGUGUUGGGGCCUGCUGCACUGGCAGCCCUUAAAAUCAGUGGCGGCGCCAUCUGGCUCUAAGCGUAGUAAUUCUUCUGGCUAUGGAGUCCUGGUGGAUGCUUGCCAUCAACCCCCAAUUUUUCUAUGGUUGACCUCGGAUCAGGUAGGGAUACCCGCUGAACUUAAGCAUAUCAAUAAGCGGAGGA
rnacentral:misc_RNA from 1 species